rnacentral:rRNA from 1 species
CUGGCGGCGUGCUUAACACAUGCAAGUCGAACGGACGGACUCGAUAGCUUGCUAUUGAGUCGAGUGGCAAACGGGUGAGUAACGCGUAGACAACCUGCCGCAAAGAUGGGGACAACAGCCCGAAAGGACUGCUAAUACCGAAUGUUGUAUCCCCUCCGCAUGGAAGAGAUAUUAAAGAUGGCCUCUACUUGUAAGCUAUCGCUUUGCGAUGGGUCUGCGUCUGAUUAGCUAGUUGGUGGGGCAACGGCCUACCAAGGCGACGAUCAGUAGCCGGUCUGAGAGGAUGAACGGCCACAUUGGAACUGAGACACGGUCCAGACUCCUACGGGAGGCAGCAGUGGGGAAUCUUCCGCAAUGGGCGAAAGCCUGACGGAGCAACGCCGCGUGAGUGAAGAAGGUCUUCGGAUCGUAAAGCUCUGUUGUCGGGGACGAAUGUUGAGGCCUAGAACAUAGGUUUCAAAUGACGGUACCUGACGAGGAAGCCACGGCUAACUACGUG